rnacentral:rRNA from 1 species
ACGAACGUUGGCGGCGUGGAUUAGGCAUGCAAGUCGAACGAAGACACCCUAGGUAGCAAUACUCGGGGUGGACUGAGUGGCGAAAGGGGCAGUAAGGCAUGGGUAACCUACCCCGGGGAUGGGCAUAACCGUUCUAACGGACGGCUAAUUUCCAGCGAUCUGGUCGAGGGGCAUCUCUUGGCCAGGAAAUGAAUUUCGCCUCGGGAGGGGCUCAUGUGAUAUUAGCUUGUUGGCGGGGUAACGGCCCACCAAGGCUGAGAUGUCUAGCGGGUGUGAGAGCACGACCCGCGCCACUGGCACUGAGACACUGGCCAGACUCCUACGGGAGGCUGCAGUCGAGGAUCUUCGGCAAUGGGCGCAAGCCUGACCGAGCGACGCCGCGUGCGCGAUGAAGGCCCUCGGGUUGUAAAGCGCUUUUGCAGGGGAGGAAAGCCGAAAGGUCUGACCUAUCUUGCGAAUAAGCACGGGCUAAGUUCGU